UUAUUACAAAGGCAUUUUAUUAUAAAUACAUUUUAGUUGUAGCAGUAAAAUACAUUUUGUGUUACCAUGAAUCUUUUAAAACAAAAGAACGUCACGGACAAUGAUCACAAUGUAGAAACUAUAGACCCUCCAAUUGAAAACUUGGCCUAAGGAACCAAAGUGGCUAAAAUAAUUCCAAAACUAAGUUUAAAAAGAAAAGGACAAAAAAGAAGAAGAAGGAAAUAAAACCCCUAGAGAAUGGCUUUGGGGUUGUUACAUGGUACAAAGUCAUUUUUACUUUUAAGGAGAAACUCUUUAGGUAUUAGAACCUCUCAGAAGAGGUAUCAUUAACCGCAAAGAAAAAAUAAUUUUGUUAUAAUUUUGCCAUAAAUUAUGAUUAUUAGAUGGCUGUACAAUUGGUACUUAUAAGAGAUGGAAACUGACUAUCUCAGUUUUAUAGAGCCUUCCUUUGGAAGACUUGCCAAAAUAAGACCCAGUAUGAAUUUGCUAAGUCAUUGAUUAUAUGAAGUUAGUUGAACAAGUUUAGGUAAGUAUUGUAAUUUUGAAGCAUUGAAAAACCAAAAAACCAAAAACACAAAAAACCCUGUGUUACUAAUAACAGGACCCUUUAAGAAAAUGCAAAACCCAUUACCUUUAUAAUUUAGAGGAGAGGUAUUUCAAUCACCAUAUUUAUCUAGGAUACAACUACUACAUAUAACCAGUACCUUCAUGAGUUUCAAAGAAUCAGGUCAGAUGACUGGCACAGAAAGCGGAUACAGUACGAUGUCAUACACAUGGGUUUAUAGGAAGCAGGCAUGGUCUGGAUACGCAAAAAUCCAAGAUCCUUCCUCUGCGGGGUGGGGGGGAGGGGGGGCAGGGGUUAAGCAACAUUUGCAGGUGUAACUUCCAUCUAGACGAAAAAGUCCUCUGACCAACCGAAAGACAGAGAGGUCUUUGCAUCCAAGGCAUUGUGCAAAGUGUAAAUCAACGGAAGCUCCGGACGAGUUGGGAUUGGAUAAAGUAACCAGUGCUGAACAGAGAAGCAACCCCACCCAAGGUCAACAAGCCUUUCAUGGAGGAGCAAGUACUGUAUUUUAAGAAUCCCGAAGCUGUGUGUUCUAUGACGCUUAUCAUAUGCUCUUCAUCUAAGUCAUUCUAUAAUCUAUUACCUUAAAAAUACUUUUUCUCUUUCUAGUGUCUCAGUAAAUUCAAAGCCAAACUAAAAACCAGAGGCAGAGACCAAUACCCCUCGAGCUGCACUCUGGGGGAAUAUUAACGACGACGACAAUAACACGCAAGUUUUAAAAUAUCCAAAGACCUGUAGGUUUAUUAUAUUGUAGGCAGUUUCUUUCUCAAAAAUAACUUGCUCAUACAUGUGCACCUAUGUAUAUUAAUAAUUCAUGCUGUGUAGGUGGCAGAUUUCCUUAGACUUUUUUGCAAACAUUUAUAGGUUUUUUUUUUAAUCUACUAAAGGUAGCAAACUAAUCAGAGACAAUUAUCAAUUUUCUGCCAUAUCCAUCACUUCAGGUGCCCCUAACACCUACCGACAUGGCAGAGAAUCCAAAAUGACUGUUAACCUGAGAAACACAUAUCACGCUAGAAAGGCAAGAGCUCUUACCCCCUCAAGUGGAAGAGCGUGUGCUCACAGACCUUGAAGGGGGUGAGCACUGGGAGGGGGUGGCCGCCACCCCAAGGGCUUGUCACUCCACAGAGGUCUUUCUCCAUGAACGCCCCCCACAUGGCAUCAGAAUUAUAAAAACGUCUCAAGAGAUCAGUUUUGCACACUGGGUAAAUACAUGCAUGAUUCAAAAGACCUCCGUACUCUCUCUAGACCAGGGGUUCUCAUCAGUGUCCCCUGGGAACUUGUUGGAAAUGCAAAUGAUGAGGCUCCGGCCUGGAAUCAGAAACUCUAGGGUGGGUCCAAGGAUCUGUACAUUAACGAGGCCUCCAGGUAAGUCUGACACCGACUAACAUUUGAGAACCACUGCUCUGUCCUGUUCAAAAUUUGAGAAUCUUAAAAUAGGACAGAUUUGUAAACAGAAUUUCCUGUGUGGCCUCUAUUCUGUGUUGAAACCUAUGGAAUUUGCCCCUUGCCCUCGACUGCUCAAAUGCGGAAAAAAAAAAAAAAAAAAGAAUUAAUGGAAAAAAUUUACUUCAAAAAAAUCCAAAUAAAAUUUAAAGUAAUAUUGGUUUCCCCUCCCAUACAUAGUUCUAAGGCAGGCAGUUGCAUGCUAGUAUGCAAAAUAAAAUACAGAAGAGACCUCAUAUUAUGAGGUGUAGAAAUGGCUAAAAAAAACUCCCAAAGAACAUAAUGAAAAUUCCAUUAUAUUGUUCAGUGAACUUAUAGAAUUAUAUAAAACUUACUAUGCUUUAUGCUUAGUAUUUUGUAUCAAAAUAAAAUCUCUCUGUUGAACAAAUUGCAAACAAAGUCUGGUCUAAUACUCUGAUCACUGAAACUACAUGAAUGUCUCUGGGUUUUCUUAACACUCCAGUUUGAGAAGCUUUCCACACCUACUGUGUAAAGGAGUUCAGGCUUUAACCAUAGUACACAUUACUAAGUCUAGAUAGGUACCUCCUUUCAAAAAAUUUAGAAACUCCUGUGACUGUUUCCUUAAAGUUUAUUCCAAAGUAGAUAUUUUCAAACAUUGCAAAAAAUUUAUUUGAUGUUACAUUAAUUUUUUUUAAUUUUUAAUGUUUGCUAUUCUAGUUUAAAGUAGCAACAAUGUCAUUUUCUGAAUGUGUUUUAUAAGAAUUCAUUCUUUGUAACAGUGGUCUUCAAAUUGCUAAUUAAACAGGUAUGAAAGUAGUGAGUGUGAGUCUGGCAGCUUAACAAGUAGAAUCUCAGCAAAUAAAGAUCCAACCUCAAGCAGAUGGAGAUUUCGAGAAAGCUAAUGUAACGAGCAGUUUGAAGACUGACAUGCCGCUCACACUUUCGCGACGUCUUUAUCAUAUGGGACAGACACCACUGAGUGAUAUCUGAACAAGGAAUCAUCGAGCAUAAUCCCUUGCUUCUAACUGAUAAAUACUCUGUGGAUCAGAUGGCAAAGAGCGGAGCAAAAAAUCAGAUCCAUUAAAAUAUUUACUUCGAGAUUAAGCAACACACAUAGGGUGGUAGUAGAAACUGGAAAAAAAAAAAAGCCUAAAUAAUAUUUAAGGCAGCAAUUUGUAUCUUUCCAUAUAUUUAAAUUUUUAAUCUUGUAUUUUUACAGGCUUUUUGUGGGUUGCCUUUUUGAAAACAACUCCAAUAUGAAACAAUGCUUAGGAUAACAAAUGUCUCUUCUUAAAACAACGAUGUUAUUAGUAAAUCUAAUUUUCUUAAUAACCAUAGUUGAAAUCUAAAAUUCAUCUUGAAAUUGAUUUUCACACCCUGGCUUGUAGGCAAGGUGGCUAGAGAUAUACUCUUAUAUGUUUAUAACUUUGCUCUUGAGAUGUAUAUACAUGGAAAAUAGUAAACAAGUAAAAUUGACUACACUAGAGCAAGAUAAUACUAUAUAUUAAUUACCUCCAGUUAGGAAAUUGAGUUAGCUUUCACAGCAAUUUCAAUGCCUCCAUUAACAAGGAAACUAUUCUUUCACAAAUAGGUCUUGGAGACUGCUAUAUUUAAUUAGGUAAUGCUUAUUCAGUGGGAAUUCUGCUUAUUUUACUUAUUCUGCAAUUCUUUGAACUGGAAAGACCAGUCGAUGUUUACAUCAAACCCAAACUUAUUCUAGAACCUCUGAUGAAAGAAAUACACAAAGCAGUUUAUCGCAUACAUACAAAAUGACCUGGAUAGAGAGCAUAUCUGUCUGAGGAAAGGAAAAUUAAGGUCAUGUUAGUUUAAAUGGUCAAUAAUUAACCACUGAUUAAUCAAAAACAAAGCUCUGCUGUAACAAUUUGGCAAAGCACAUGCCAAAAUGGCAGCCAAAACCCCUUUUAAAAAUACACCAAAAUAUCCACGGUACACUGAAUGAGGCUCUUCAAAUCUUAACAGAAAUUCAUUUUUAGGUCAGGAAAAAAAUUUUUGCAUGAAAAUGCUACAGAUUUUAUCAUCCAAAAGAAUUUCUUUAAGGUGAAAAAGAAAAGAACAUCUCAGUGGCACUGAAAUUAAAAACUAAAAUGAAUAAAAAAUAGUUCUGGCAAGAAAAAGAAAACUUCAGAGUGAUACAAAGAACAAAGAAAGAAAAAAAGAUAUCAUGUGAACAAUUAACCUCACUUAGAAGAAAUUUGUCUUGGAAGAAAAGGAAGUUGGUAAUACUUGGUAUUAUCCAAGAGCUAACAUCAAACUUUCUUUAAAAAAAAAAAAAAAAAAAAAAAAAAAA
rnacentral:lncRNA from 1 species